rnacentral:rRNA from 1 species
AACCUUUACACUGCACGACAGUGCGAUAGGGGGACUCCGAGUGCGAGGGCAUAUAGUCCUCGCUUUUCUGUACCGUAAGGUGGUACAGGAACAAGGACUGGGCAAGACCGGUGCCAGCCGCCGCGGUAAUACCGGCAGUCCGAGUGAUGGCCGAUAUUAUUGGGCCUAAAGCGUCCGUAGCUUGCUGUGUAAGUCCAUUGGGAAAUCGACCAGCUCAACUGGUCGGCGUCCGGUGGAAACUACACAGCUUGGGGCCGAGAGACUCAACGGGUACGUCCGGGGUAGGAGUGAAAUCCUGUAAUCCUGGACGGACCACCAAUGGGGAAACCACGUUGAGAGACCGGACCCGACAGUGAGGGACGAAAGCCAGGGUCUCGAACCGGAUUAGAUACCCGGGUAGUCCUGGCUGUAAACAAUGCUCGCUAGGUAUGUCACGCGCCAUGAGCACGUGAUGUGCCGCAGUGAAGACGAUAAGCGAGCCGCCUGGGAAGUACGUCCGCAAGGAUGAAACUUAA